rnacentral:lncRNA from 1 species
GCACUUUGACACUUGGCUUUUGCCGAUGCACCGGUUUGCUGCAAUAACGAAAAGGGGUUUAUAAGCACAGAUAUAGCCGAUAUAAAGAUGGUCAGUAUAAAAGAAAAAGGAUUGACAAAUUGCCUUGAAAGCCUGCGCCAAAGUGGAAGCAGCUACCGUUGGUGAUGUCUGAGUUCUCUUGAUGGUGACUUUCCUGAGGCGUACACCCCGAUGCACGACGGAAGCCAGAGUGGGAGCAUUAUGGCCAAUUGAGGAGAUCGG